rnacentral:misc_RNA from 1 species
AAUGGGGUUUCUGCCAUUGUAUGUCACUCAUCAUUUCAAUAGUUUAGCCACAAGAGCAAAUCUAAGUCUUUGCGUGCAUCUGCCUACAUAACAGUUGUUUUUCUGUACAGGAUUUUGUCAGAAUAUAUUUGUUAUUUUUCUUUGAUGAUUAACUGGUAUAAUUGCUAAACUAAGUUUACCUUUCUAGAUUUCCUGUGUUGGU